ensembl:lncRNA
GUUUGGUUUGAUGACUUGUGAUCAUCCACAUUGGUAAAAUUAAAGGAAGCCUCACAGGAGGGAUAACGUUUAAUGGAAGUCAAUGGAAAAAGAUCUGAUUUAUAAGCAAAUAAUUUUGAAGCAUUUCUAUUGAUCAGUUUAGACCUAAUGUAAAAAGUCAGAUUCUUAUGGAGUCAUAUAGGAAAAGAACAAGCCAAAAGGAAGCCCUUAUUUUUAAGUGGUCUCUUAUUUUUUUCCAGAGCUGUAUAGCUCAAGUAGUCAAAAUUGCAUGAACAUCUGGACACAAAAAAACUGUUUUUAUUAUUUCUGCACAUUGAUCUGAUGACAAUUUAGCCCCACCCAUGCUAAUAGCAAUUUUGCCCCUCUCAUUCUGCUGUUGGGACAUUAAACAUCCUGUGCUAACUGGAUAUAUUCGGGGAAAUCCACUCUGAUUCUGAUACUUUAAGCUGUACAGUUUAAAAAACUCAAGGAAGGCAGUCUGAGACACACGCUUAGUCUGGGAGAAGGGGGUGGACAUAUUGAAUGAGUGGGUAAGUUUGGCUUCACCAUUGCUCUCUAUUGUGCAGACAGACUCUACUGCUUGCAAAUUUGACAUCAUAGUGACAUGCAUAUUUUUGGCUUCAUUUCAUUAAAACAAAAGAGAAUAAAACCAACGCAUCAUUUUUUCCCCCCAGUCAUCUCUUCUCUUGAAAAUGAAGAAAGACAAACAGACCACAGUAGUUAACCAAAAAAAUAAUUCAAUAUUUAUUUGCAGUAUAAACAUGUCUUGUUGUGUUUGUGUUCCAUAUAACUAUAUAAUACAUACGGACAAUUUCAUAUCCUUCAUAAAUCAGAAAAUCGAACUGCCCUGUUACCAAGCGCCCAGUUUUAUACACAUAUAUAGAUUGCAUCUUUUAAAAAAAUGUAUACAGCACAUAUAAAACAGCUAUUCGUCAUGUAUUUGAAGCUGUAACACGAUGCAGAUGCAUUGUCAAAAAUCCCUGAAAAAUUCCUCAGUGAGGUAAGAUAUACAUUUUUUGUUAUUCAACUCUCAUUCCUCCCUCACUCUCUCUCUCUCUCUCUCUCUCACACACUCUGUUACAUGCUCUUUCACUCUCACUCUCUCUCUCUCUCGCUGCCUCUUUCCGAAGUUGUAGCUACAAGAAAUGUCCACAGUAAGCAGAGCUCCUGUGUUUCUGGCGAUUUACAGACAGAAAAUAACGUUUUUUUUCCCGCCGUUACGGACACACCAACAUUCCUCCACAAGAAGCAGCUUGAAAUCAAGGAUUUACAUUAUUUAAAUUAAACAGAACAAUUACAAAAAAAUUACAAAACAGAAAAGAAUGAAAGUAAAAAAGCUCCGUACUGAAAUACGUCUCAGUCUCGGGUGCUGAGAGUUUGACUCGAGACCGAACGCCGUUUAUUUUCCUUAUUGUGACCGAAUGCCAACCUCCAAUGGAUGAGGGGCUUCAAGCACGAGAGUUAGUCAUCCUCAGUAAUAUAUAUAUAUAUAUAUAUAUAUAUUUGGGAGGAGACUAUUGCAUAUCUACUCAAUAUAUUUAAUAAUUAUUUGUUUAUUUAUAUACAUAUACAUA